rnacentral:rRNA from 1 species
ACGGGCCCGCACAAGCAGCGGAGCGUGUGGUUUAAUUCGAUGCUACACGAAGAACCUUACCAGGGUUUGACAUGCAAGUGGUAGGAAACCGAAAGGUGACCGACCCUUCGGGGAGCUUGCACAGGUGCUGCAUGGCUGUCGUCAGCUCGUGUCGUGAGAUGUUCGGUUAAGUCCGCUAACGAGCGCAACCCUCGCUGUGUGUUAUAUGUGUCACACGGGACUGCCGGUCUUAAGCCGGAGGAAGGUGGGGAUGAUGUCAAGUCAGCAUGGCCUUUAUAUCCUGGGCUACACACACGCUACAAUGGCCAGCACAGUAGGUUGCUAAGCCGCGAGGUGGAGCCAAUCCAUAAAGCUGGUCUCAGUUCAGAUUGCAGGCUGCAACCCGCCUGCAUGAAGAUGGAGUUGCUAGUAACCGCAGGUCAGCUAUACUGCGGUGAAUACGUUCCCGGGGCUU